UUAUUUUAUGUUUGGUCCCUUCAUAGCUAU
rnacentral:piRNA from 1 species